rnacentral:rRNA from 1 species
UCCGUUAAGGAGAUCUUUUGGCACCUCUAAAAAUGGUGCAGAAUAAGGGGUGGGCAAGUCUGGUGUCAGCCGCCGCGGUAAUACCAGCACCCCGAGUGGUCGGGACGUUUAUUGGGCCUAAAGCAUCCGUAGCCGGUUCUACAAGUCUUCCGUUAAAUCCACCUGCUUAACAGAUGGGCUGCGGAAGAUACUAUGGAGCUAGGAGGCGGGAGAGGCAAGCGGUACUCGAUGGGUAGGGGUAAAAUCCGUUGAUCCAUUGAAGACCACCAGUGGCGAAGGCGGCUUGCCAGAACGCGCUCGACGGUGAGGGAUGAAAGCUGGGGGAGCAAACCGGAUUAGAUACCCGGGUAGUCCCAGCUGUAAACGAUGCAGACUCGGUGAUGAGUUGGCUUCUUGCCAACUCAGUGCCGCAGGGAAGCCGUUAAGUUUGCCGCCUGGGGAGUACGGUCGCAAGACUGAAACUUAAAGGAAUUGGCGGGGGAGCACCACAAGGGGUGAAGCCUGCGGUUCAAUUGGAGUCAACGCCGGAAAUCUUACCGGGGGCGACAGCAGAGUGAAGGUCAAGCCGAAGACUUUACCAGACAAGCUGAGAAGAGGUGCAUGGCC